rnacentral:rRNA from 1 species
GACGUAGGGUGCAAGCGUUGUCCGGAAUUAUUGGGCGUAAAGAGCUUGUAGGCGGUUUGUCGCGUCUGCUGUGAAAUUUCGGGGCUCAACCCCGAACUUGCAGUGGGUACGGGCAGACUAGAGUGUGGUAGGGGAGACUGGAAUUCCUGGUGUAGCGGUGAAAUGCGCAGAUAUCAGGAGGAACACCAGCGGCGAAGGCAGCUCGCUAGGACGGUACUGACGCUGAGGCGCGAAAGCGUGGGGAGCGAACAGG